rnacentral:misc_RNA from 1 species
AACACUGUUAACCUGCGGUACCUGCGGAAGGAUCAUUACCGAGUUUACAACUCCCAAACCCAUGUGAACAUACCUAUCGUUGCUUCGGCGGAUCGCCCCGGGCGCCUUGCGUGCCCCGGAUCCAGGCGGCCGCCGGGGGACCUUAACUCUUGUUUUUACUGAGAAUCUUCUGAGUCGUUUUUACAAAUAAAUAAAAACUUUCAACAAUGGAUCU